AGAGUUUGAUCAUGGCUCAGGACGAACGCUGGCGGCGUGCUUAACACAUGCAAGUCAAGGGGGCCCAGCAAUGGGCAACCGGCGAACGGGUGCGUAACACGUGAGCAACCUACCGAACUGUGGGGGAUAGCCGGCCUAACGGCCGAGUAAUACCGCAUACGCUCUCAGUGAGGCAUUUCAUUGAGAGGAAACCUACGGGACAGAUCGAGGGGCUCGCGGCCUAUCAGCCAGUUGGCGAGGUAACGGCUCACCAAGGCAACGACGGGUAGCUGGUCUGAGAGGAUGGCCAGCCACAUUGGGACUGAGAUACGGCCCAGACUCCUACGGGAGGCAGCAGUGGGGAAUCUUGCGCAAUGGCCUAACGGCUGACGCAGCGACGCCGCGUGUGGGAUGAAGCUCUUCGGAGUGUAAACCACUGUUGCCCGGGACGAAUAGCUCGAUUAAUCGAGCCUGACAGUACCGGGUGAGGAAGCACCGGCUAACUCCGUGCCAGCAGCCGCGGUAAUACGGGGGGUGCGAGCGUUGUCCGGAAUCACUGGGCGUAAAGGGCGCGUAGGUGGUUUGAUAAGGGUGUGGUGAAAGUCCGGGGCUCAACCCCGGAUCUGCCGUGCCGACUGUCAAACUCGAGGACUGUAGAGGCAGACGGAAUUCCGGGUGUAGCGGUGGAAUGCGUAGAGAUCCGGAGGAAGACCGGUGGCGAAGGCGGUCUGCUGGGCAGUUUCUGACACUGAGGCGCGACAGCGUGGGGAGCAAACAGGAUUAGAUACCCUGGUAGUCCACGCCGUAAACGAUGGGUACUAGGUGCCUGGGGGAGCGACCCUCUGGGUGCCGGCGCUAACGCAGGAAGUACCCCGCCUGGGGAGUACGACCGCAAGGUUGAAACUCAAAGGAAUUGACGG
rnacentral:rRNA from 1 species